ACAUGCAAGUCGAACGGUGAACACGGAGCUUGCUCUGUGGGAUCAGUGGCGAACGGGUGAGUAACACGUGAGCAACCUGCCCCUGACUCUGGGAUAAGCGCUGGAAACGGCGUCUAAUACUGGAUAUGUGACGUGACCGCAUGGUCUGCGUUUGGAAAGAUUUUUCGGUUGGGGAUGGGCUCGCGGCCUAUCAGCUUGUUGGUGAGGUAAUGGCUCACCAAGGCGUCGACGGGUAGCCGGCCUGAGAGGGUGACCGGCCACACUGGGACUGAGACACGGCCCAGACUCCUACGGGAGGCAGCAGUGGGGAAUAUUGCACAAUGGGCGAAAGCCUGAUGCAGCAACGCCGCGUGAGGGAUGACGGCCUUCGGGUUGUAAACCUCUUUUAGCAGGGAAGAAGCGAAAGUGACGGUACCUGCAGAAAAAGCGCCGGCUAACUACGUGCCAGCAGCCGCGGUAAUACGUAGGGCGCAAGCGUUAUCCGGAAUUAUUGGGCGUAAAGAGCUCGUAGGCGGUUUGUCGCGUCUGCUGUGAAAUCCCGAGGCUCAACCUCGGGCCUGCAGUGGGUACGGGCAGACUAGAGUGCGGUAGGGGAGAUUGGAAUUCCUGGUGUAGCGGUGGAAUGCGCAGAUAUCAGGAGGAACACCGAUGGCGAAGGCAGAUCUCUGGGCCGUAACUGACGCUGAGGAGCGAAAGGGUGGGGAGCAAACAGGCUUAGAUACCCUGGUAGUCCACCCCGUAAACGUUGGGAACUAGUUG
rnacentral:rRNA from 1 species